rnacentral:tRNA from 1 species
CGCCGCGACGGUUCCGGCGUGGGGAUCGACCGCGCCGUCGCCGCGGUGGGCCCGGCGCUCACGGGGCUGCCGCUCGGUGCGGCACCCGGCGCC